rnacentral:misc_RNA from 1 species
AAACCAAAAAAAAAAAAAAAAACGCCCCACACAACACGCAGAAAAUGUGGGUAUACAUACAUGAAUAUUAACCCCAAGUCACACAUUUUUUUUCUAUAUAUAUGAAACUCUCCUUUCCCGAUCAAGUUGCAAAUAGGAACGAGUUGAGAACAGUCCUGCAAAGCCUCUAGACAAGCAACCUUCAACUGCACAGACAGAUUUGGACGACCCCAUUGGACUAUUCUGAUUAAUGAUUUCCAUGCAGUCACCGGCUGAAUUACCUGGUGGAUUAUCCUCCCAGUUCAACAGUCUUUGAGAUAUCAACCUGCUUCUCUUAGAAUUUGACAUAAGAUUCAGGUUAGUAUAAUCUGAGACAAGAGAAUCUGAAGACUCCAUUUCUUCAUUUUGAAGGCUAGGCAACUUCCUCUUCAGACCUGGAGUGACUUUCAAUCCGGAAAGAGCGUCUUCAAAUACAAAUAACUGAGACUCUGAAUCACCGCAGUUGCAGAAAAGGUUGGGAUCUUUAUUGGAUCCUGAUACCCUGUACAUGUGCUCAACAAAGUCGUCUAUUAAGACAGGCCAAGCUCCUUCAGGAUCAUACCCUUCAAGAUUUUCAUGUACACAUCGGCUAAAAGCUAAAACUUGCUGCCAUGUAUCCUCAGAAAUAUUGUGUCUCUGAUUUUCCUCAACAAAGUCACACCAUUGGUUCAGCAAUCGAAACCUCCCAGCCAAAACUAGUCUCCAUGCAGUAACUGCCUUGCUUACAGUGAUAUUCUUUUGACCAUUUUCACGGCACAUGAAGAACAUAAAAUCAUAGAAGCGUGAGAACUCAGAGAAAUCCACCAUAAAUUCUAGCUUUGACAUGAGCUUUGCAAGUUCAUCAACAAUCGAACUACUUGCAUGCACUCUCAAUUCUACAAAUUUUAAAAGCUGAGCCAACGCAUCCCUUGAGGAUUUGCCCUGCUGUGUAUCAUUGUCCUGCUCAUUUCUUUCUCCCUCAUAUGCUUUUCCUGAUCUAAUGACGCAGUAACGCUGGUAAAUCUCGAAGAUGUCAACCCGAUUCGAAUCCGGCAAAUCCAUUGGGAGCUGAAGGCAGAGCCAAAGCAGAGCUGAUGGGUAUGAACAAAACCCUAGAAGUAGAAGCUCAAAAACUCAAAAGAAAAGCCAUGAACAGGGAUAGAAGGGUCUCUCUUUAUCUGGGCGUCUGCUUGUCUGCCUCUGUGUGUU